AAUUAGCCAGGGCAACUGGUGGGCAGCUAUAAUCCCAGCUACUUGGGAGAGUAAGGCUCGAGAGUUGCUUGAAUCAUGUAGGCAGAGAUUGUGGUGAGCUGAUAUCAUGCACUGCACUCCAGCUUGGGCAACAGAGAGAAAAAGAAUCUAAAAAGAAA